rnacentral:rRNA from 1 species
AACUUUUUAGCUAGAGUAUGAUAGAGGAAAGCAGAAUUUCUAGUGUAGAGGUGAAAUUCGUAGAUAUUAGAAAGAAUACCAAUUGCGAAGGCAGCUUUCUGGAUCAUUACUGACACUGAGGAACGAAAGCAUGGGUAGCGAAGAGGAUUAGAUACCCUCGUAGUCCAUGCCGUAAACGAUGUGUGUUAGACGUUGGAAAUUUAUUUUCAGUGUCGCAGCGAAAGCAAUAAACACACCGCCUGGGGAGUACGACCGCAAGGUUAAAACUCAAAUGAAUUGACGGGGACCCGCACAAGUAGUGGAGCAUGUGGUUUAAUUCGAAGAUACGCGCAGAACCUUACCAACACUUGACAUGUUCGUCGCGACUCUAAGAGAUUAGAGUUUUCGGUUCGGCCGGACGAAACACAGGUGCUGCAUGGCUGUCGUCAGCUCGUGUCGUGAGAUGUUGGGUUAAGUCCCGCAACGAGCGCAACCCUCACUUUUAGUUGCCAUCAUUAAGUUGGGCACUCUGAAAGAACUGCCAGUGAUAAGCUGGAGGAAGGUGGGGAUGACGUCAAGUCCUCAUGGCCCUUACGUGUUGGGCUACACACGUGCUACAAUGGUAUCUACAACAGGAAGCAAGACGGCGACGUCAAGCAAAUCCUUAAAAGAUGCCUCAGUUCGGAUUGCACUCUGCAACUCGAGUGCAUGAAGCUGGAAUUACUAGUAAUCGUGGAUCAGCGUGCCACGGUGAAUGCGUUCCCGGGUCUUGUACACACCGCCCGUCACACCAUGGGAGUUGGUUCUACCUUAA